rnacentral:rRNA from 1 species
GCUAUUCUAGAGAUAGAAAGUUACUUCGGUACAUCGGUGACAGGUGGUGCAUGGUUGUCGUCAGCUCGUGUCGUGAGAUGUUGGGUUAAGUCCCGCAACGAGCGCAACCCUCGCCUCUAGUUGCCAGCAUCGGUUGGGCACUCUAGAGGGACUGCCGGCGACAAGUCGGAGGAAGGUGGGGAUGACGUCAAAUCAUCAUGCCCCUUACUGACCUGGGCUACACACGUGCUACAAUGGGCGGUACAAAGGGCUGCGAACCCGCGAGGGGGAGGCGAAUCCCAAAAAGACCGCUCUCAGUUCGGAUUGCAGGCUGCAACUCGCCUGCAUGAAGCCGGAAUCGCUAGUAAUCGCGGACCAGCAUGCCGCGGUGAAUACGUUCCCGGGCCUU